rnacentral:rRNA from 1 species
AUUGAACGCUGGCGGCAGGCCUAACACAUGCGAGUCGAGCGGAUGAAGGGAGCUUGCUCCUGGAUUCAGCGGCGGACGGGUGAGUAAUGCCUAGGAAUCUGCCUGGUAGUGGGGGAUAACGUCCGGAAACGGGCGCUAAUACCGCAUACGUCCUGAGGGAGAAAGUGGGGGAUCUUCGGACCUCACGCUAUCAGAUGAGCCUAGGUCGGAUUAGCUAGUUGGUGGGGUAAAGGCCUACCAAGGCGACAAUCCGUAACUGGUCUGAGAGGAUGAUCAGUCACACUGGAACUGAGACACGGUCCAGACUCCUACGGGAGGCAGCAGUGGGGAAUAUUGGACAAUGGGCGAAAGCCUGAUCCAGCCAUGCCGCGUGUGUGAAGAAGGUCUUCGGAUUGUAAAGCACUUUAAGUUGGGAGGAAGGGCAGUAAGUUAAUACCUUGCUGUUUUGACGUUACCAACAGAAUAAGCACCGGCUAACUUCGUG